AUGAAUUUAUCUAUGCAGUUAAUGGACGUAGUGACAGCAUACUUGUAUGGGUCACUCAAAUCGGACAUAUAUAUGAAAGUUUCCGAAGGACUUAAAAUGCCGAAUCCAAAAGCAAAUCGCAACGUAUAUUGUGUAAAAUUACGAGAGUCACUCUAUGGCUUAAAACAGUCGGGUAGAAUGUGGUAUAACCGACUGAGUGAGUUCCUUAUUCAGAAAGGAUACUCAAAUAAUGAUGAUUGCCCUUGUGUAUUUAUAAAGAAAUCCUCAAAUGGAUUUUGCAUCAUCUCAGUGUACGUUGAUGAUCUCAAUAUCAUUGGGAGUACACAUGAUAUAGAAGAAGCACGCAAUCAUUUAAUGACGAGAAUUUGA
rnacentral:rRNA from 1 species